UGCUGUUCUCACACAAAGGCGAGGGCUAGAAAUAGGCACGUCAGGCUAUGACACAGCCUUCCUCCUCCUUUGAAGGGGUAAUGACCUUAUUCAAGAUGCUUUUAUUAGGUCUUCUCUGCAAGUUACCGGAGAAAAGUCAUCGCAUUUCACACAACCAUGCUGCCACUUCCAGUCUGGGUGGUUCUUCCAAGUCUCGGUCAACCCCGUUUUACAUGGCUGAGGCACGUAGGUUGAGUACUUUUUUUUUUUUGCGGUACGCGGGCCUCUCACUGUUGUGGCCUCUCCCGUUGCAUCCGGACGCGCAGGCUCAGCGGCCAUGGCUCACGGGCCCAGCCGCUCCGCGGCAUGUGGGAUCUUCCCGGACCGGGGCACGAACCCAUGUCCCUUGCAUCGGCAGGCGGACUGUCAACCAUUGUGCCACACCAGGAAAGCCCAAGAUUUAGCCAUGUGGCCUGUUAGCUGCUUUGAUUCACAACCCACCUCCAUCAUGUUUCAAGUGAUGCUGUUUUUCUGAACCCAGAAGGCAAUGAAAAUGAUCCAAUGAGAGGAAAUGCAAUAAAAAAGAUCAAUCACCCAGCAAGAUACCAGCAGGCACCUAUUAGAAUGGCUAAAAUUUAAAAAGACUGACCAUCCCAAGUGUUGAGGAGGACGUGGAAGAAACGGAACUCACAUGUACUCCUGAUGGUAUAAUCAUUCUGGAAAGCAAUUUCGCAGUUUCUUAGAAAGUUACCAUACACGUACCAUAUGAUCCAGUCAUUUCACUUCUAGGUUUUUACCCAAGAAAAAAGGAAAUAUAUGCUCACAUGAAGACUUGUACACAAAUGUUCAGGCAGCUCUGUGGGUAAGAGCCCCAAACUGGAUACAACCCAAAUGUCCAUCAACAGAUGAGUGGAUAAACAAAUUUCAGUAUAUCCAUACAAUGGCAUACAUGCAGCAUUAAAAAGGAACGAAGUAUUGGUACACAAAACAACAUGGAUGAAUGUCAAGAUCAUUAUACUGAACAAAAGAAAUCAGACCCAAAAAAGUACAUACUGUCUGAUUCUAUUCAUAUAAAACUUUAGAAAAUGCAACUGAAUCUAUACUGACAGAAAGUAAAUCAGGGGUUGCUUAGGUGUGGGCCGGGCGGGGGUGUGGGGGCAGGAAAGGAAAGGAAGAAGAAAUGACAAAGGGGCACGAGGAGACUUGAAUAUAUUCACUUGAUUGCACUGAUGGUUUCAAGGGGGUGUACACACGUCAGAACUUAUCAAAUGAUACACUUUAAAUGUGCUCCACUUAUUGUAUGUCAAUUAUACCUCAAUACAGCUGUCUCAAAAAAGA